AUGAAGUUCCUGUUUUGGAACAUUAGAGGGUUCUGCGCUAGGGGGCGCAGAGACCAACUGAAGGACUUAAUGCGCGCUGAAAGAAUUGAUUUUAUCGGGCUUGUUGAGACUCUUAAACCCUCCUUUUCUCCUUCUGAACUAUCGGCGAUUGCUAGGAUUGAUAGAUUUAGGUGGAAUUUCGUGGCCUCUGUUGGUCAGUCCGGCGGCUUUCUUCUAAGCACCAAUAAUGUCACCUUUGAUUUUGUGGCUUUCGACCAUGGUAUAUACUGGGCUAGUAUGGUAGUUUCCCUACGUUCCAAUAACACCCUCCUUGAACUUAUGGUAGUAUAUGGUCCGGCUGAUCAUUCCUUGUCUCAAAUUUUCUUGGAUGAGAUUUUUACUAAAAUUGAUGCCUACCAACUGCCACUCCUGAUUGGGGGUGAUUUUAAUCUGCUUCGGUAUCCUUCUGAUAAGAGUUCUGUCAAUUUCUCCUAG
rnacentral:rRNA from 1 species